AUUUUGAGAAUGUAGCAAAAGAUGAAUAGAAUUUAAUCACUUGAAGAGUUAGGAAAAGAGUUUGCUGACUAGGCAAGAGCAAGUGCAAAGUCCCUGAAGUAGGAAUGGGAUUGGAAUAGUCGACGGAGUGUGAGGGGUCUGAGUGACUGCAGUACAAGUGAUGGAAGAACUUCAUGCUCAGGAGACAGGUUGUAAAGAAUGGUUCUCAGUGCUGCUUUCAUCAUGAAAGACUGAAGAAUCACUAUUGGCUCAUUUUAUAGGAAAGAAAUACUUUCACAGAAGAGCAUGCCUAUAGU
rnacentral:lncRNA from 10 species